UCCGUAGGUGAACCUGCGGAGGGAUCAUUACCGAGUUAUACAACUCAUCAACCCUGUGAACAUACCUAUAACGUUGCCUCGGCGGGAACAGACGGCCCCGUAACACGGGCCGCCCCCGCCAGAGGACCCCCUAACUCUGUUUCUAUAAUGUUUCUUCUGAGUAAACAAGCAAAUAAAUUAAAACUUUCAACAACGGAUCUCUUGGCUCUGGCAUCGAUGAAGAACGCAGCGAAAUGCGAUAAGUAAUGUGAAUUGCAGAAUUCAGUGAAUCAUCGAAUCUUUGAACGCACAUUGCGCCCGCCAGUAUUCUGGCGGGCAUGCCUGUUCGAGCGUCAUUACAACCCUCAGGCCCCCGGGCCUGGCGUUGGGGAUCGGCGGAAGCCCCCUGCGGGCACAACGCCGUCCCCCAAAUACAGUGGCGGUCCCGCCGCAGCUUCCAUUGCGUAGUAGCUAACACCUCGCAACUGGAGAGCGGCGCGGCCACGCCGUAAAACACCCAACUUCUGAAUGUUGACCUCGAAUCAGGUAGGAAUACCCGCUGAACUUAAGCAUAUCAAUAAGCGGAGGA
rnacentral:rRNA from 4 species